AAUGCUCAAGUUUUUGUCUUUGUAACCUAUAUUUUUUGCAACUAGGUCAGGUGAUUGUUGCAAUAUUUGUGUUGAUCUUUUUCUGAACUAAAAUUUAUUAGUCUGGGCAGUUGUAUCAGUUUGACAUACCACUGUUAAUAGGUCACUAGCUUCCUCUGAAAUUCUUUGUGCAGAUAAUUGUUCAUGAAAAGUGGACAUACAUGAAUAUGCUUACAUUGAUUAUUCGUCAUUCUUUUUACGUACUUAUGUUCGAUGUCUCAUUGUAGGUUACUACAUUUGCUUGCAAUUUGGCAAAACAUCGGAAAUCUUCAACUUUGGAGUCCAAGGAUGUACUGUUACAUCUAGAGAAAAACUGGCAUUUGACUAUUCCAGGCUUUUCAAGCGAGGAGAGGAAACACUAUCCAGAAAAUUCACCAAGUGAUCUCCAUAAAAAGCGUUUGGAUGUGAUACGUACCUUGAUGGAGGCCUCACAAACAGAAACAAGUACAGAUAGUAGUGCUAAGGAGACAGUCAGACCAGCAGUGGGUGACUCAAAUCACAUGAUCAGACCUCCAAGUUCAGACAAAUUGGUUUCACAGUCUAAUGCUUCUCAAAUGCUGCAUGAGAUGACAAGGUUUUGAUGUCCCUGGAGUUCUUGGUGUAUCUCCCGUGUUAACUGUACAGAUCUUGAUGGUAAGUAUCACUUCUUUUAAGAUGAAUUCUACUGUGAUUUACUUGUUUACUGAAGAACCCAGCCUUUAGUGGCUCUGAGUUUUCAUGCCCGAACAUUAUGUUUUUGUUUAAGCGAUCCUUCUCUAGACCAAUAUCAGUUGCACAUUGGAUAAGUAUGCUGUAUGUAGUGUGGAGUUCUAAAUCAUGUCUUAGCUGCUGCAAAAUGAUAAUAAUGCUAUUACUUUUUGGGUU